CACCCAGGGCCCAGGCACCGUUGGAUGGAAGCUGUGUGCAGUCUGCCACCAGACACAGUCAGGCCUCUCAGCAACUGCCUACAUGCUUACAGCUCUCUUUCCUCCAACUCUGCCUGCAGCACUUAUUGCUAAUGAAACAGUGAGAAAAUACCCUGGAGCCAUUCAGUUGGCAAGAAAGUACCUAGGAGCCCUUGUCAUGUCAUUGUGCUAGGCGCAGUACAAACACAGAAGAAAGAACAUCCCUGCCCAACCUUCCAGCCUUUCCUGUUUGGCGACUGUAAUGCACAGGAUCUAUGUUACGGAAACCCGGUUUCAGACAGAGUUGUAUCAGUUCCAAAGACUCAACAGAGAUGCACUGAAUUUAAAGGUCAGAUGCUCAUUUUCCCUCUAAGGGAGUGGGAACAGCAACAAAAAACAGAGAGAAGGCUCUUUGAAAACAUCCUGGAUAAUUUAAUAGAUAACAGAAAUUGUUCUGUAAGUAAGUUCAGCCUCCUGCUAUAGAAUUCUGUAGGAUGGUUCAAAAACCUAUGGAAAGGUGACUCCUAUUAAAUGCUGUAAGUUUUAUUUUCUAUAGAACGCCAAAGAAUUUAAGCCCCAUUUAUUUUAUAGGGCUUCCAUACAUGGAAAACAUUCACAAUAAUUAAUCUUUUGGUUCUUUUUUUGCUUCACAGAUUCUCAGGGUCUGUCAUUUGAGUUUUAUGGAUGUGUCUGGCUAACUUAAAUUAAGUCAAUUGGGCUGAGGCCUCCGCUUUUCAGUGAAUUGUCUGACAAGGCAGGGGCAGAUGGAGCUUAUGGAACCAGCUGCUCCUGGGCACAUUUUUUUUCCUGUGGUUGUGCUUUGUUGGCUCUCAGAUUUUCACAGAGCUCAUUCUAUCCACUUUCCAAGGAAGAGAAUAAAAGUCAUUCACCGAAACUGAACCCAGGCAUGCGGUGAUGAGAGUAAAAGCUGCCUGCAAAAGUAGGACUGGUUGGGGGAGAGAGGGAGGAAGGGAACAAGAGAUUUUUGAAGUAGAUUCUAUUUGUACAAUUGCCAGUCCCUCUUUCCCAUGUCACAUAUUUGUUUCCAUUCAUUAGGUUCUCAGAGAGAGAGGAAGGGGUAGUAAUUCUGUAAGACAUAUGAAACAAGGGACAAAAUAGUAAUGUACUUCUAAUGCGAGGCACUUUUGUUCCUUUCCUCGUGCCUCUGAGAAGCACUGUCCCCCUCUCUGUACAAUCUACCUUUCACUGUAAAUAGCCCCAUGCACUAUUCUGUAUUGUUCAAAUCUCACCAUUUCUAUCAAGCGACAGAGCAAACUUUAGGAUGCCAACACCUACAAGUGUUUUCAUAUUAAUUUAAAACUAGUAUUUUUAUGGAGAGAGGGAAAGUGAUCCAGGCAGAAGAUUCACCCAGCAUAAUAAUGAUAUGGCAAAAAUGUGGGACUUGAUCAUCAAAGGUGUCGAGUGCUCUGACCCCAAUACAGCAAAACACUUAGUCAUGUGCUUCAAGUGAUGUGGUGGAUCAGGUCCCACUGCUCUGUACCUUGCAGGAUUAAGCCCUUAUCCAUUUGAAAAAGGUAAAUUAUAUUAGAGACACAAAAAAGUCUUCUAGCAGAAGGGAUUAAAACUGUUAUAGAAGACACUUCCAUCUCAUUAGCACACUGGUUUAAUUGCCAAGUGCUUAAGGCAAUUUGCAGACUAAUGGGUUCCUUCAAAUUUGAUAGAAAAUUAACAGCUGCUGUACAGGAGUAGCAAUUGCUUGAAAUAAGGUGAAAAAGCUUUCAAGUAGAAUCCCUUCUGUGCAACAAAUACAUUAAAACAUAUCAGCUAUAGCCCAAGAGAACUAUCUCCCAACUUUAAGGGACAACUGGAUCACCGUCAUAUAGAACAGAAAUUCUUUACCGAAAUAAAAGUAUGUAUGAUUUAAAGUGGCUUAAGUGCAUCUACAUUAGGGGUUUGCACCUAUUAGUUUUCUAACAUAGAUCAGCUUUUAAUGUGUUGAAGGACAGGAUUAAACAAAGAACCUUUUGGAAACUAAGGCCUUGGCUACACUUACCCGGUAGUUCGGCGGCGAGCGAUCGAACUUCUGGGUUCG